UACGUAGGGUGCAGGCGCUAAUCGGAAUUACUGGGCGUAAAGCGUGCGCAGGCGGUUUCUUAAGUCAGAUGUGAAAGCCCCGGGCUUAACCUGGGAACUGCGUUUGAAACUGGGAGACUUGAGUGUGGCAGAGGGGGGUGGAAUUCCACGUGUAGCAGUGAAAUGCGUAGAUAUGCGGAGGAACACCGAUGGCGAAGGCAAUCCCCUGGACCUGUACUGACGCUCAUGCACGAAAGCGUGGGGAGCAAACAGG
rnacentral:rRNA from 1 species